AAUACGCCCUUACGGGGAAAGAUUUAUCGCCGAAAGAUUGGCCCGCGUCUGAUUAGCUAGUUGGUGAGGUAAUGGCUCACCAAGGCUUCGAUCAGUAGCUGGUUUGAGAGAACGACCAGCCACACUGGGACUGAGACACGGCCCAGACUCCUACGGGAGGCAGCAGUGGGGAAUCUUGGACAAUGGAGGAAACUCUGAUCCAGCGAUGCCGCGUGAGUGAUGAAGGCCUUCGGGUUGUAAAACUCUUUUACCAGGGAAGAUAAUGACUGUACCUGGAGAAUAAGCCCCGGCUAACUUCGUGCCAGCAGCCGCGGUAAUACGAAGGGGGCUAGCGUUGUUCGGAAUUACUGGGCGUAAAGCGUGCGCAGGCGGUUUUUCAAGUCAGGGGUGAAAGCCCAGAGCUCAACUCUGGAAUUGCCUUUGAAACUGACGAACUAGAGUACGAGAGAGGUGAGUGGAAUUCCCAGNGUAGAGGUGAAAUUCGUAGAUAUUGGGAANAACACCGGUGGCGAAGGCGGCUCACUGGCUCGUAACUGACGCUCNG
rnacentral:rRNA from 1 species